rnacentral:rRNA from 1 species
AGCAGCCGCGGUAAUUCCAGCUCCAAUAGCGUAUAUUAAAGUUGUUGCAGUUAAAAAGCUCGUAGUUGAAUUUCGGGAUUAAUUUAUUGGUCGUGCAAUAGUACGUACUGGUAUUAUUGAUUCCUACCUUCUGACGAACCAUGAUGUCAUUAAUUUGGUGUCAUGGGGAAUCAGGACUGUUACUUUGAAAAAUUAGUGUGUUUAAAGCAGGCUCACGCUUGAAUACAUUAGCAUGGAAUAACGAAAUAGGACGUUUGAUUCUAUUUUGUUGGUUUCUAGGAUCGACGUAAUGAUUAAUAGGGAUAGUUGGGAGCAUUAGUAUUCAAAUUGUCAGAGGUGAAAAUUUCUUGGAUUUAUUGAAGACUAACUACUGCGAAAGCAUUUGCCAAGGAUGUUUUCAUUAAUCAAGAACGAAAGUUAGGGGAUCGAAGACGAUCAGAUACCGUCGUAGCCUUAACCAUAAACUAUGCCGACUAGGGAUCGGAUUGGUGUUAAUUUUUAAUGACUCA